GAUGAAGAACGUAGUGAAAUGCGAUAAGUAAUGUGAAUUGCAGAAUUCAGUGAAUCAUCGAAUCUUUGAACGCAUCUUGCGCUCCUUGGUAUUCUGAGGAGCAUGCCUGUUUGAGUGUCAUUAAAUUCUCAACUACACUGACUUUGAAUUGGUGUGGCUUGGAUUUGGGGGGAAAAUUGUUGUGGGCUUUUUGUAUAGUCUGCUCCCCUGAAAUUGAUUAGCGGUACCUUUGUGGAACUGUCUACAGGUGUGAUAAUUAUCUACAUCUUAGACAUCUGCUGGAAUGCUGCUCUCUAAACCUUACUUGUAUUGACAAUCUUGACCUCAAAUAAGGUAGGACUACCCGCUGAACUUAAGCAUAUCAAUAAGCGGAGGA
rnacentral:misc_RNA from 1 species